rnacentral:rRNA from 1 species
AGAGUGAACGCUGGCGGCAUGCCUAACACAUGCAAGUCGAACGGCAGCACAGCAGUAGCAAUACUGUGGGUGGCGAGUGGCGGACGGGUGAGGAACACAUCGGAAUUUGCCCAGUCGUGGGGGAUAACGUAGGGAAACUUACGCUAAUACCGCAUACGACCUUACGGUGAAAGCGGGGGAUCGCAAGACCUCGCGCGGAUGGAUGAGCCGAUGUCGGAUUAGCUAGUUGGUGGGGUAAAGGCCUACCAAGGCGACGAUCCGUAGCUGGUCUGAGAGGAUGAUCAGCCACACUGGGACUGAGACACGGCCCAGACUCCUACGGGAGGCAGCAGUGGGGAAUAUUGGACAAUGGGGGCAACCCUGAUCCAGCAAUGCCGCGUGUGUGAAGAAGGCCUUCGGGUUGUAAAGCACUUUUAUCCGGAACGAAACGUGCGGGGUGAAUAGCCUCGUAAACUGACGGUACCGGAGGAAUAAGCACCGGCUAACUUCGUG